rnacentral:rRNA from 1 species
UACGUAGGGUGCAAGCGUUAAUCGGAAUUACUGGGCGUAAAGCGUGCGCAGGCGGCUUUGCAAGACAGAUGUGAAAUCCCCAAACUCAGCCUAAAAACUGCAUUUGUGACUGCAUGGCUAGAGUACGGUAGAGGGGGAUGGAAUUCCGCGUGUAACAGUGAAAUGCGUAGAUAUGCGGAGGAACACCGAUGGCGAAGGCAAUCCCCUGGACCUGUACUGACGCUCAUGCACGAAAGCGUGGGGAGCAAACAGG